rnacentral:rRNA from 1 species
UACGAAGGGACCUAGCGUAGUUCGGAAUUACUGGGGCUUAAAGAGUUCGUAGGUGGUUGAAAAAGUUGGUGGUGAAAUCCCAGAGCUUAACUCUGGAACUGCCAUCAAAACUUUUCAGCUAGAGUAUGAUAGAGGAGAGCAGAAUUUCUAGUGUAGAGGUGAAAUUCGUAGAUAUUAGAAAGAAUACCAAUUGCGAAGGCAGCUUUCUGGAUCAUUACUGACACUGAGGAACGAAAGCAUGGGUAGCGAAGAGGAUUAGAUACCCUCGUAGUCCAUGCCGUAAACGAUGUGUGUUAGACGUUGGAAAUUUAUUUUCAGUGUCGCAGCGAAAGCGAUAAACACACCGCCUGGGGAGUACGACCGCAAGGUUAAAACUCAAAUGAAUUGACGGGGACCCGCACAAGUAGUGGAGCAUGUGGUUUAAUUCGAAGAUACGCGCAGAACCUUACCAACACUUGACAUGUUCGUCGCGACUUUAAGAGAUUAAAGUUUUCGGUUCGGCCGGACGAAACACAGGUGCUGCAUGGCUGUCGUCAGCUCGUGUCGUGAGAUGUUGGGUUAAGUCCCGCAACGAGCGCAACCCUCACUUUUAGUUGCCAUCAUUAAGUUGGGCACUCUGAAAGAACUGCCAGUGAUAAGCUGGAGGAAGGUGGGGAUGACGUCAAGUCCUCAUGGCCCUUACGUGUUGGGCUACACACGUGCUACAAUGGUAUCUACAACAGGAAGCAAGACGGCGACGUUAAGCAAAUCCUUAAAAGAUACCUCAGUUCGGAUUGCACUCUGCAACUCGAGUGCAUGAAGCUGGAAUUACUAGUAAUCGUGGAUCAGCGUGCCACGGUGAAUGCGUUCCCGGGUCU